AUGCCCAGUUUUGCGCCGGGCAGCGCUCUCAGCGGGCGGCGGCGCGCGGCGCGUUUUUGCGCGGGACUCCGGGGCUGUGACGCCGAGACCCAGUACUUCGGCUCGGGCACCCGGCUGCUGGUUCUAGAGAGCCUGAAAGAUGUGCAACCACCCCAGGUGGCCGUGUUUGAACCCUCUGAAGCCGAGAUCAACGAGACCCAGAAGGCCACUCUCGUGUGCCUGGCCACGGGCUUCUACCCCGACCAUGUGGAGCUGAGCUGGUGGGUGAACGACAAGGAGGUGCAGAGUGGGGUCAGCACGGACCCCGAACCCCUCAAGGAGCAGCCUGAUGAGAAGAAAUCCACCUACUGUCUGAGCAGCCGGCUGAGGGUCUCUGCCGCCUAUUGGCAUGACCCUCGCAACCACUUCCGCUGCCAAGUUCGCUUCUAUGGGCUCAGCGACGAGGAUGAGUGGAACUUUGAAGAAACUAGAAGGCCCAAACCUGUCACCCAGAAUGUCAGUGCUGAAGCCUGGGGCAGAGCAGAUUGUGGCCUCACUGCAAGGUCGUAUCAGCAGGGGGUCCUGUCUGCUACCCUCCUCUAUGAGAUCCUGCUGGGCAAGGCCACACUAUAUGCUCUGCUGGUCAGCACCCUGGUGCUGAUUGCCAUGGUCAAGAAGAAGGAUUCCUGAGACCAAACACAAAAGGAUGGCUAAUGUCACUCUUCAACUGCCUCAGGUUCUCUUGACUCUUUCAAUCUGUCCUCCUGAAGAAUUGUCCUCUCCCCACAGUAGACCGCCCUUCCUACAUGGAUGUCUAUUAAUCACUUUGCUUCCCUGCUGUCUGAGUUCCUCAACCCUGAAGCUUAUAAAUAUACUAAACCAA